UACGGGGGGGGCAAGCGUUGUUCGGAAUUACUGGGCGUAAAGGGUUCGUAGGUGGCUUACUAAGUCAAACGUGAAAUCCCUCAGCUUAACUGGGGAACUGCGUCUGAUACUGGAAAGCUUGAGUGCAGGAGAGGAACGCGGAAUUCCAGGUGUAGCGGUGAAAUGCGUAGAUAUCUGGAGGAACACCGGUGGCGAAGGCGGCGUUCUGGACUGCAACUGACACUGAUGAACGAAAGCCAGGGGAGCAAACGGG
rnacentral:rRNA from 1 species